rnacentral:rRNA from 1 species
UACGUAGGUGGCAAGCGUUGUCCGGAAUUAUUGGGCGUAAAGCGCGCGCAGGCGGUCCUUUAAGUCUGAUGUGAAAGCCCACGGCCCAACCGUGGAGGGUCAUUGGAAACUGGAGGACUUGAGUACAGAAGAGGAAAGCGGAAUUCCACGUGUAGCGGUGAAAUGCGUAGAGAUGUGGAGGAACACCAGUGGCGAAGGCGGCUUUCUGGUCUGUAACUGACGCUGAGGCGCGAAAGCGUGGGGAGCAAACAGG